UCUUUUCUGAUUGAAACUCUCUCCGGGCUUGUGAAAGCGGAGGUUCAAGUCGAAAACGGAAAAGUGAAUGUGGUCAC
rnacentral:tRNA from 1 species